rnacentral:lncRNA from 1 species
GGGUCAUGUGGGAAGCUAUGAGGAGCGUGGGGUUCCAGUAGAAACUGUGGGGGCAGCUUUCAGAGCUCUGCCUUUCCAUCUGCUCUUCAAAACAUCCUCCUGACCACUGCCCACCCUGCCCAGACAGCCUGAGCCUCAGGGGACACCAGUGACUCUACAGGCUUUGUCCCACUGCUGCCAAAGCAAUGAGUAAAAAGAAAAAUGUUAUAAAAGUUAGAUUUUUAUAUGAAUUAUUCCCUGAAUAAAAGGAAGCAAAAUAUUCUCACAAGCUUAGCUUUAUGUUCUAGGCUCCAAUUAUGUCACAAAAGCACCAAUUAUCUUGAAGAUUGGGGUACCCCUAACACUAUAGAGCUCAUUUGCAGAUAAAAGAAAACAAACUUGUAGGGCUUGAAAGAUGGCUCAGUGGUUAAAAACACUUACUGCUCUCACAGUGAACCAAUGUUCCCUUUGAAUCACCCAUAUCAGGUGGUUCACAACCACCAGUAACUUUAAUUUCGGGGGUUCUGAUGCCCAAUGACCUUCAAAGUGCCUGCACACAUGUAGUGCACACAACACAAUGCAGUGCACACAACACAAUGCAGUGCACAUAACACACAUGCAGUGCACACAACUCACAUGCAGUGCACAUAGCACACAUACAGUACACACAACUCACACAUGUACAUGGAAAUAAAAAUAAAAUAAGUAAAUUAAUGAGGCAAAUAUUUUGGUAGUUGUUUUGUUUUCCAAGACAGGGUUUCUCUGUGCAGCCCUCACUGUCCUGGAACUAGCCGUGUAGACCCGGUUAGCCUUGCACUCAGAGAUCUGCCUGCCUCUGCCUCCUAAGUGCUGGGACUAAAUGCAAGUGCCACCAGCCUGGCCUAAUUAAACAAUUCUUUUUAAAAAAGAAAAUGAGCAUGUAAAUCUUCUGCUUCCAACGCUGUUGUCUAAGACCAAGGAUGUGUUCCAGUCCCUAUCUGAUAAUACCUUGGAAAGAGAAAGGUGAUUUCAAUCAUUAGAUUCAGGGAGCGAGAAUCGAACCCCUCCUGGAGCAUCCCCAUCUCUAGGUGGGGUAGCAGUGAUGAGUGAAGGUGAGACUGCAGCCAUUCUGAGGCCCAGAGGCCAUUGAGCUAGAGCUGUACUCUGAAUAUGGCUGUCACUGUCUUCUAGCUGUUUCUGCCUGGCAACUAGCCAAUAUCACCGUUCCUGGUGAUGCUGUCCCACGAUCCAGAUAAUAUGGCUGCCAAGGAUGGAAAGCAGUGAACUCUACCAAAGAGUGAAGAGCAGGA